GAAACUUCUCUAAUGAUGGGUGAAGAGGGCACUGAUCUAUCCCUGCUCACAAACGAUGCAUCAUCCUCACCUGCAACAGGGGUGGCUAUUGGCUCACUGCUCUGUACCUCAAAAGGAAUUGCAUCCUGAAAAUGGCUGUGCACAAGGGAUGCACUGUAUUCUAGGAGACAAUCAACGGCCUGAUGGAAGAUUACAAGGUUACUUCUCCAUGAACACUGCCCCUGUGAUGUCUGAUUAUCGACAGACAUGCCACCCUCAAUGAAGAUGCACCAUCUUCUGUUCCCUUCAGCAUGCACUCUGGUACAGCUUAAAUGCAGAGAAUACAAUGGAGAAGAUCAGAACUCAGGGUACCAGUCUUGGACUAGUCAGAUGAUGGUACCAUUAUAAGGGAGUGGAGAUGAUAAAUAACUUUCAGUAAAAUACCAACAAGAAGAUUGGGAGAAAGCAGUUACGUCUCUCCAACCCUUACAAAGCUUUACACUUAACCUAUGAUUGCUAUUUAAAAGCCCCAAGGCUUAACAAACUGAUGUGACAGUAAAUGACAAGGUGGGACACGAGCCCCGACUUGCGAUUCUCUAAAGCUCAAGCCACUCAGUCUCUGAGGACUCCCUUUGUGGUGAAUGGUAAGUGGAUGAUGGCUAUGCAAAUUGCCCUCCCAUAAUUUAAGGAUUCCCACAUAACUCCACAGGUAGCUCACAACUUUUCUUCUGGUUAUUGGAGACAAUAAUGACUUUACCAUUUUAAAGGAGUCCACAUUUUUUCU